rnacentral:tRNA from 1 species
UGGGCAGUAGCUCAGUGGUAGAGAUCCAGCUUCGAAUGCGCGAAGACCGGGGUUCGAUUCCCCGCUGCUUCA